rnacentral:rRNA from 1 species
AUUGAACGCUGGCGGCAGGCCUAACACAUGCAAGUCGAACGGUAACAGGAAGAAGCUUGCUUCUUUGCUGACGAGUGGCGGACGGGUGAGUAAUGUCUGGGAAACUGCCUGAUGGAGGGGGAUAACUACUGGAAACGGUAGCUAAUACCGCAUAACGUCGCAAGACCAAAAAGGGGGACCUUCGGGCCUCUUGCCAUCGGAUGUGCCCAGAUGGGAUUAGCUAGUAGGUGGGGUAACGGCUCACCUAGGCGACGAUCCCUAGCUGGUCUGAGAGGAUGACCAGCCACACUGGAACUGAGACACGGUCCAGACUCCUACGGGAGGCAGCAGUGGGGAAUAUUGCACAAUGGGCGCAAGCCUGAUGCAGCCAUGCCGCGUGUAUGAAGAAGGCCUUCGGGUUGUAAAGUACUUUCAGCGGGGAGGAAGGGAGUAAAGUUAAUACCUUUGCUCAUUGACGUUACCCGCAGAAGAAGCACCGGCUAACUCCGUGCCAGCAGCCGCGGUAAUACGGAGGGUGCAAGCGUUAAUCGGAAUUACUGGGCGUAAAGCGCACGCAGGCGGUUUGUUAAGUCAGAUGUGAAAUCCCCGGGCUCAACCUGGGAACUGCAUCUGAUACUGGCAAGCUUGAGUCUCGUAGAGGGGGGUAGAAUUCCAGGUGUAGCGGUGAAAUGCGUAGAGAUCUGGAGGAAUACCGGUGGCGAAGGCGGCCCCCUGGACGAAGACUGACGCUCAGGUGCGAAAGCGUGGGGGAGCAAACAGG